UACAGAGGGUGCAAGCGUUGUUCGGAAUUAUUGGGCGUAAAGGGCGCGUAGGCGGUUCGGCAAGUCUCUAGUGAAAUCUCUGGGCUCAACUCAGAGUCUGCUGGGGAAACUGCCGGGCUUGAGUGUGGGAGAGGAGAGUGGAAUUCCCGGUGUAGCGGCGAAAUGCGUAGAUAUCGGGAGGAACACCUGUGGCGAAAGCGGCUCUCUGGACCACAACUGACGCUGAGGCGCGAAAGCUAGGGGAGCAAACAGG
rnacentral:rRNA from 1 species